GCGAAAAUAACUUAAAGGUAGAGUGUAAUCUUGCCAAGAUUAUUGUAAGGGUUCAAUUCCCUUUUUUCGCU
rnacentral:tRNA from 1 species